CUAAGAAAGGAGAGAAAUGAAAGAUGUUGGUAGAAAAAGUAAUGAAAUUUAAAACACUACAGAAUUAGGGAAAAUACAGAUUAAGGUGUAAGACAGGAAAAGAUGCACAAGAGUAAAAAUAAGGAAAGUCAAAUGAGUGAAAAGAGAGAGAUGAACAUACCAGACAUAGGGGCGGCUGAUUAGCGACUGUCUUGCACCUCGUGUAGUCAUUUGCCUCUAUACAAAGUGAGUGUAAAAAGAUUUAGAAUUUGCCAUUCAUACUGGUAUAGUGUUUUAAAUCCACUUUUCACUCAUUUUUCAUUGCUGUAAAUUACUACACAAGAUACAAGGCAGUGGAGAAUCAAGUUUAGUUCUGUUUUACAACAUUUUUUAUUUGAUUAAAAUAUUUGCUUACAUACAUUUCUGGUAUGUUCAGUCUGGUUGGUAACAUCAUGAGUUACAUUCUAGCAUUUUAUUGUUCAGUCUUUUAAACUUAAAACUCCUCUUGGUUUUUAUUUUGGCACUAUAGUAGACGUAUGUCACUUUGAAAGAAAAUACGUUUUGUGAUAUUUUGGAGUGCAUUUUCUUGUUCCUCGUAUUAAGUCUACAGAAUGUACCUGUUUUAUUUGCCCACUUGUCUGCUGCUGGAGAGACAUGCCCUGUUCAUCACUGUUUGGCAUCUGUGAAUGCUAAUUCUUGGCAACUGGAGGAGGAACAGGUCUGUACUUGACCAACUCUUUGAUCCAUGGUUUACAUUCUUUGUGACAUGAAUUGCUUUUCCUCAACAGCUUUUGUUCGAUUUCUGUGUUGGUAUGACUGUUUAUUUGAGUCCUCUGCUGCAAGCCUGUUGUACGCAAUGCAUGAGGCUGCUGCUCACAAGUAUUUUUUUCUGGUCUGCUGGAGAUCUCUUAGAGUAUGUCUUCACUACCAACGUUAAAGUGCUACCAUGGCAGCUGUGUAGUAAAAAAAACCCCACUCCCGUGAUGGGAGUAGCUCCCAGUGCUCUGAGCGCUGUAGCACUGUCUACAGUGCCACUUUACAGCGCUGAAACUUGCAUCGCUCAGGGUGUGUGUUUUCACACCCCUGAGCGAGAAAGUUUCAGUGCUGUAAAGUGGCACUGUAGACAAGGCCUUAGUUUCUGCAGCAUUUAAGCUGCCAUUUAAAGGGGGGUGGAGGGGAAGGCAUUUCUAGCUCAUGUGGUUGUGAAUGUGACCCAGAUUGUGUGACUGAUUUUGCAGAUGCGUGGUUUCAAUUAGCUAAGUUAUGUCCUUACUCAGAUGAUCUGAUCUGUAUAUAUUCAGAAUACUAUUUGAUUCUUUUUCUUACAAAAAUAAAAUAUUUCACACUACCCAGCCAGCAUAACUGUGGGAGAGUGCAGUCUGGCUCUGACAUCAUCAAUGGAAUUGUUAACACAGUCUUCAUUAUGGGUGACAGUACAUGAACUAGAAAGAGCAGAGCAUUUACUUCUGAUUUUGAUAAGUUUUCUCGUAAAGUAGAAAAAGCCCUCUUCUUUUACUUGUAGACUGUGCAAAUUUAAUACGGAAGUUUAUUGUGAGAAAGUAAACGUGGUGCUUCAUAGUGACAAUUUUCCAGAGUAUAAGCAAAAUGUAAGGUUGAGAUACUGUGCUGUGUCUCCAAGAGGUGCAGCGCAGACCUCCCAGUCUAAGGAGAGGGAGGCUGGGACAGUGCUAACAUCGUUUUAAGCCACCUUCAUGCCCUCCUGAUCUGGGGCUGCUCUGGGAUUGGAGAAGACCCCAGUGUAAUUUAGAUGGUCUUGGGAGCCUGUCUAAGUGAUAGCAGUCGCAGCACUGCCUAGCCAACGUCAUCAGCAAUUUACGCGGCAGCCCUAUCUCUGUUGCUACUCUCAUCCAUACCAUCAUCUUGAGUCCUUUUUUAGGACUUACUUUGGUUAGAUGUUGCGUUGGUCAUGAGUACUAGAUUGGUGGCAUUGACUUUGGUUUUGAGAAAAUGUGCACACGUCCUUACCCCACAAAUUGACCUAGAUUUUGUGUGCAGUGUUGUUUUAGCCAUCUUGAUCCCAGGAUGGUAGAGAGACAAGAUGGGUGAGGAAACAUCUUUCACUGGGACAACUUCUGUUGGUGAGAGACACAAGCGAAUAGAUCAUGAGAAAUGGGGAGCGCUCCUUAAGAUCUCACAGUGACACCUGCAGAGGAAGAGUAGCAUUGUGUUCAAGCAUAACAGCACUUUUCCCAUGGCUCCUAUUGUGACUGAAUUUGAGUAAGGUUAUGUAACCAUAGUCAAUUUCACUCUGCAGCAGUGCUGCAAGUAAAGUACAAAUAGGCAAAAGGGUAGCACUAGUCUUUCUCUGUGGAUUUUGUUACUUGUAAAUUUGCAAUUACAGAAAUACUAUUUAAUGAUACGACAUAUGGAGUGUUAUUAGAAACCUUAUCUAUGUGCUUUAAAUUCUGAUAAAUCUUCAUAUGCCUUGAAAUAUUGUAUUUAAUUUCCUCUCUUGGAGAAGAGAAUGAGUUUUAAUAAACAAGGCAAGCUAUAGUAGCUAUAAAAUUUUUCUAAUAAAAAUGCAAUUUCCAUAGCAUUGAGAAAACUGGAUUUGUGGUAGUGAUUUUUUUUUUCUCUAGCAAAUAUUUUGUGAAAUGAUUUUGGAAAAAGACAGCCAUAUGUUUGCUUAAGCUUUCAAUAGAGACACUCUGUUUCCACUGUUUUGUAGGACUGUGAAAUGCUUUUCUGCUUGGGUCCAUCUGCCCAACAUACUGGCAAUAUUUGCUUUUCUGUAGCUUACAUAACAUUAGACUCUGUUCCUCCUGAGAGAGAGUAAAUAGCUGUGUGUAGUUUUGCAUACCUGUUUUUACAUAAUUGUGUAAACCAAAAACUGCAUUUGAGAUGUACAGAGAUACUUAGCAUUCCUUAUUAGCUAAUGCGUAAACAUAAUUAAAAUAGUGGUUUUAAAGGUCUGAUUGAAAUAUAUAAAAGGCAGAAAAUGCCAAGUCCAGGCUAAAACUCACGACUUCUGUGUCAAACAGUUGUGGCUGGAUAUUUCAGCUCAUACGGUAUGUGAAAUCACCCAGUGCUCUGUGAGCCCCUGACAGGAGCCCGCUGUCUCAGAUGCAACAUCUAGACUCAAGGGAAUAAGCUAAAGUUAGAGUUUGGGGAAUAAGCUAAAGUCAGAGUGUGAGUCUGUAAGUCGUGGCUCUAGAUUUCUGUCAUUUCUUUAGUUUCCUUUUUAGUUAGUGUUCCUUUUUAUGUUAGUUUCAGGGGGAAGAGAGAGGGCAGGGGACUUUGUGAAGGCUUUAAUAUUUGCCAGAUACCUUUGUAAAGCCUUCUCAUGACCCAUUAAGGUCAUGCAGAUCUGCAUAUGGGUAUUUCCAGGUCUGUACCCUUUCAUUUUAAAAAGCAAUUGAAAGGCCUGGAUUAUCUUAAAGCAACAGCAAAAAGCAACAUCUGCAGGAAGAUUAUAAAUGUUAAUAAUUAAAUAGACUAAGUUUAUACCUACUAGAGAAUGUUUUAAUACUCUUUGCUGAAGUGUUCUGGGUUAGCUUAAGAUGGCUUCUGUGAAGAUGGAAAUUUUUGGUUGCAGCUGUAGAUAGAAAAAGGAAAUGGUUGGGUGUAAUGAUAUUUAACAAGAAUGUAACUUCCUAUUACUCUGAGUUUUGCAGGCCCGUUGUGUUUCCUGUCAAUAGCCUCCUCCCCCAUUCUUUCAAGUGAGGAGCUAGUUAUUGUGUGCAAGAUGAAUAUUAAAAUGCACUUAUGCAUGAAAGUGAAAUACUUGAAGCAGGGCUGCUGAAUUGCCAAAAAUGGGCCGUUCUGCACAGGGGAAAGUUUUAAAUAAACUCUGCUGAUGAAAGACUUUUGAUCAACCUUCCCCCAACUUUUGGUCAACCCUCCCCCAGUCACUAAUAAAAUUAUGUAAAACUUA